rnacentral:rRNA from 1 species
AACGAACGCUGGCGGCAGGCUUAACACAUGCAAGUCGAACGCUCGUAGCAAUACGGGAGUGGCGGACGGGUGAGUAACGCGUGGGAACGUGCCCUGAGGUACGGAAUAACUGAGGGAAACUUCAGCUAAUACCGUAUGAGCCCCGAGAGGGGAAAGAUUUAUCGCCUUGGGAGCGGCCCGCGUCGGAUUAGCUAGUUGGUGGGGUAACGGCCUACCAAGGCUUCGAUCCGUAGCUGGUCUGAGAGGACGAUCAGCCACACUGGGACUGAGACACGGCCCAGGCUCCUACGGGAGGCAGCAGUGGGGAAUCUUGCGCAAUGGGGGCAACCCUGACGCAGCCAUGCCGCGUGAACGAUGAAGGCCUUAAGGGUUGUAAAGUUCUUUUACCCGUGACGAUGAUGACGGUAACGGGGAAUAAGCUCCGGCUAACUUCGUGCCAGCAGCCGCGGUAAU